GGGAAUGUGGCUCAGCGAUAGAGUUCUUGCCUUGCAUGCACUAGGAUCUGGGUUUGAUCCCAGCACCCCCC
rnacentral:tRNA from 1 species